rnacentral:rRNA from 1 species
CACGAACGCUGGCGGCAGGCUUAACAUAUGCAAGUCGAGCGCCCCGCAAGGGGAGCGGCAGACGGGUGAGUAACGCGUGGGAAUCUACCCAUCUCUACGGAAUAACGCUUGGAAACGUGUGCUAAUACCGUAUACGUCCUUCGGGAGAAAGAUUUAUCGGAGAUGGAUGAGCCCGCGUUGGAUUAGCUAGUUGGUGGGGUAAAGGCCUACCAAGGCGACGAUCCAUAGCUGGUCUGAGAGGAUGAUCAGCCACACUGGGACUGAGACACGGCCCAGACUCCUACGGGAGGCAGCAGUGGGGAAUAUUGGACAAUGGGCGCAAGCCUGAUCCAGCCAUGCCGCGUGAGUGAUGAAGGCCCUAGGGUUGUAAAGCUCUUUCACCGGUGAAGAUAAUGACGGUAACUGGAGAAGAAGCCCCGGCUAACUUCGUGCCAGCAGCCGCCGUAACAC